rnacentral:lncRNA from 1 species
CUCCAGGAGCACAGAGACUGGAUGGAUUCCUGCUUCCCUGUCACUCGGCUCUGUUCAGGCGGUGCAGUCACUUCCUUCACCUCAGUGUCCCUGUUUGUGCAAAUGAGGUGACUAUUGGUGCCGACCUACUUCCCAGGCAGUUUUGAAGAGAAGUGGCAAACGUUGAAGGGCGCACACUCUCCUUCCCCAAGCUCCCUCCCUCCCCACGUGUGCACCCAGAAGGAAAUAAAAGCCGUAAUUUGCACUGGCGAGUCGGCCCGCCUCGUCGAGGGUUCCGCUGAGCUGCUCACAAGGGCGUGCGGAGGCCCGCGGCCGGCCCUGGCCCCUGUGGUGGCAGCAGCUGGCUGGCUUCCCGGGCGGCUACCUCCAGCUGCAGCUGUCGGUGCUAUUUGCAGCUCUCCACAUCCUGAGAGCUGGACGCCGAGGACCGCUCCCUGGAGGGCGUGCGUAAAAUGCAGCAGCGGAGCGGUGAGGAGAUUACCGGAAAAACUGGGAGCGGAGUCAGGCUCGUUCUGGAGCAGGGAGAGGCUUGGGAAGUUGCGAAACGUUGACCUGCAGGGUCUUGAGGAACUGUCGGCCUGGGCUGUCCCCGUGGGUCAUUGAACAUUAAUCAGCCACCAGUCCUCGACCAAGCCAACCGAAAUAGAGUCAGCAGGCAGAAUGACGAAUACAGUUUGAAAGGGAACGAACUUACUCUUAUUCUCUCCUUGGAAAGGCCUUUCCAGACUCUCGAACUCACCCCUGUCACAUUACCCUGUUGUGUUAUCUUUGUGGGCCUGCGCAGCACCUGAAAUGAUCUGUCUUAGGGCCGAGUACAAUGCCCAGCUCAUUUGUAAAUGAGUGAAGGAGUCCCCUACUAGCAGGCUGCCUACUCAUCAAUCAAGUAGUUGUUGGGUUUCUCAUUUUUACCUUUGGAGAUGUUGUCUUCGACCUACGGGAAGGAAUUGGAUCUAUUUGAGGGUAAAGAAAUUCAUCCUCCCUGGGUUUAUGUAUUUUCCAA